UACGAAGGGGGCUAGCGUUGCUCGGAAUCACUGGGCGUAAAGGGCGCGUAGGCGGCGUUUUAAGUCGGGGGUGAAAGCCUGUGGCUCAACCACAGAAUUGCCUUCGAUACUGGGACGCUUGAGUGUGGUAGAGGUUGGUGGAACUGCGAGUGUAGAGGUGAAAUUCGUAGAUAUUCGCAGGAACACCAGUGGCGAAGGCAGCCCCCUGGGCUAACACUGACGCUCAGGCACGAAAGCGUGGGGAGCAACAGG
rnacentral:rRNA from 1 species